rnacentral:pre_miRNA from 14 species
GUUUAACAGGUCCCCAUGACCUUGGUAGUUUUCCGCCGCAGUGAUAUACCAUCAAUCAAAACGAUAUCACCGGGUGAAAAACUACCAAGGUCGGGUCACCUGUC